GAUAAAACCGAGAGGGAUCUGAACUGCGGCUCUGCACCUCAUUUCAAAGCCUGUGGGACUAAAGCCAAGCAAUAACAGAACGUGCAGUACUUGAUUGGAAGGUUUUGGGUUGAAGUGCAGGAUGAAAUGCCUGAAGCUUGAUGAAUGAUGCAGUGGAGAAAUCGACUGAAACCUUGAUUGGCCACAGCCAGUGUCACUGAUGAAGGACAAAUGGACUCCGUGUGCGGACAGGGGUGACGGUCCAAGAAGGACAGAGCAUCGCAAAUCCGCAGCGUCCUGUCUGGAAACGCAGGGCCGGGAGCCGGUCCUGAGCGAACAUCAACACGCCAUGCAUGUUCUGUUGAAAGGGGGCAGCGGGUACUGUAUUCCUUAAAACUGCCACAGUCAGAGAAGAAAAAGGCUAAGGACAUGUUCUAGGUGAAGGGAACUGAGAAGCCUGGUCACCCAAGUGCAAUGCCUGCCCCUCGGUGGAGUCCUGUCCUGGGGCCAGAAGUUGUAAAGGACACCAUGGGGCCGCCUGCAGACCCGGAAUACGGACAGCAGACGAGGCACAGAACAGCACUCUGGUCUGGACACUGGCCCUCCUGCACCGCGUGACGGCCUCGUAUCGAAUCCAGCAGACUUAGGAACUGACAGUCCUGUAAGCCUGCUUCCCGGGAGCAGAGCAGCUCUGCCGGCCCAUCUACCUGCUGCUUUGAGAAGCACAUUGAUCCCGUCUAUUUUACCAAUCCUGAUUCACUUUUGAAUUGAAAGCCUUGGUUGGUUAAUAUAUUUUUAGGAUGUUCGAAUUCUGAAGAUGAAAGUUUUCAACCUCUAUUUUCUAAAAUCUUGGAAUAGAAUUUGUGUUCUUGAAAACUUAAUGUUAACCAAGGCUUCAUGUCUGCAUGAGGUGGAGAGGCAUGGAGCACAAGGAAAAGGUGGCUGAGGGUCUCUUUUCGGGAUCAUCUAUUAUCCUACAGUUCUGGCCCAAACAAACACCUCCAUCACUCCCAGUGAAGGUCUACAACUCUGUAUAGCUGUGAAAUGAUACAAGUAAAAUAGCUGUGCUUUGAGAGAAGUACUUUCAGGGUAACUGAAUUAAUCAAGAAGUAUUUUCUUUAACAGUUAAAUCACCUUCAGAAAUCCAUAGAAUUGUGGAA